UAUUUACAUAAUCCAACAGUGUCUACCAUC
rnacentral:piRNA from 1 species